AGUGAACGCUGGCGGUAGGCCUAACACAUGCAAGUCGAACGGCAGCACAGUAAGAGCUUGCUCUUACGGGUGGCGAGUGGCGGACGGGUGAGGAAUACAUCGGAAUCUACUUUUUCGUGGGGGAUAACGUAGGGAAACUUACGCUAAUACCGCAUACGACCUACGGGUGAAAGCAGGGGAUCUUCGGACCUUGCGCGAUUGAAUGAGCCGAUGUCGGAUUAGCUAGUUGGCGGGGUAAAGGCCCACCAAGGCGACGAUCCGUAGCUGGUCUGAGAGGAUGAUCAGCCACACUGGAACUGAGAGACGGUCCAGACUCCGACGGGAGGCAGCAGUGGGGAAUAUUGGACAAUGGGCGCAAGCCUGAUCCAGCCAUACCGCGUGGGUGAAGAAGGCCUUCGGGUUGUAAAGCCCUUUUGUUGGGAAAGAAAAGCAGCAGGUUAAUACCCCGCUGUUCUGACGGUACCCAAAGAAUAAGCACCGGCUAACUUCGU
rnacentral:rRNA from 1 species